rnacentral:lncRNA from 1 species
CUCGAAAAUUUCAUAUGCUCCGUGUUGCUCAAAACGCCUUUGGAGCUCCGGUUCUAAACUGUAAAGCAUGUCGCACUGAACGAGAGAGUAGUCAUCACUCCGCGACUGCCAAACGGUCAAGUCCCUCCGUCGAUGCCCGUCUUCUCUUCGAUUGGCAUGGUGAGUUUCAUUAUAAACUAGUAUUAAUAAUUUAGUGUCAUCAUGCUAACUGAGACAUUGCAAAAUAUCUAUUCUGCAGAAUAACUCCCGAGCGGCAUCGCACGACCCUUCUCCAGGUGUUUCUCCUCCUUGAUGACCACUACGGUAAGUUUCUCUUCUCCUCUUUCAUAUAAUGACAUAG